AUUGAACGCUGGCGGCAUGCUUUACACAUGCAAGUCGAACGGCAGCACGGGGGCAGCCCUGGUGGCGAGUGGCGAACGGGUGAGUAAUACAUCGGAACGUGCCCGGUCGUGGGGGAUAACGUAGCGAAAGUUACGCUAAUACCGCAUACGAUCUGAGGAUGAAAGCGGGGGACCUUCGGGCCUCGCGCGAUCGGAGCGGCCGAUGUCAGAUUAGGUAGUUGGUGGGGUAAAGGCCUACCAAGCCGACGAUCUGUAGCUGGUCUGAGAGGACGACCAGCCACACUGGGACUGAGACACGGCCCAGACUCCUACGGGAGGCACCAGUGGGGAAUUUUGGACAAUGGGCGCAAGCCUGAUCCAGCCAUUCCGCGUGCAGGACGAAGGCCUUCGGGUUGUAAACUGCUUUUGUACGGAACGAAAAGGCUCUGGCUAAUACCUGGGGCUCAUGACGGUACCGUAAGAAUAAGCACCGGCUAACUACGUG
rnacentral:rRNA from 1 species